AAACGUAGGAGGCGAGCGUUAUCCGGAUUUACUGGGUGUAAAGCGCGUGCAGGCGGUUUAGCAAGUCGUGCGUGAAAGCGCCCGGCUCAACCGGGCGAGGUCGUGCGAAACUGCUUAACUUGAGGUAGGUAGAGGCGUGUGGAAUUCCGGGUGUAGUGGUGAAAUGCGUAGAGAUCCGGAGGAACACCGGUGGCGAAGGCGACACGCUGGGCCUGACCUGACGCUCAGACGCGAAAGCAGUG
rnacentral:rRNA from 1 species